UACGUAGGUGUCGAGCGUUGUCCGGAUUUAUUGGGCGUAAAGAGCCCGCAGGCGGCUUGGCAAGUUUGAGGUGAAAUCUCCCGGCUUAACUGGGAGGGGGCCUCGAAAACUGCCAGGCUUGAGGCAUGGAGAGGGAUGCGGAAUUCCCGGUGUAGUGGUGAAAUGCGUAGAUAUCUGGAGGAACAUCAGUGGCGAAGGCGGCUUCCUGGUCCAACACUGACACUGAGGUGCGAAAGCGUGGGGAGCAAACAGG
rnacentral:rRNA from 1 species